rnacentral:rRNA from 1 species
GAACUGCAGGACACAUGAACAUCGACAUUUCGAACGCACAUUGCGGUCCUGGGUCAUUAAUCCCGGACCACUCCUGGCUGAGGGUCGUAUCUUGUUUUAAGACUGCUCGGUUUUUCUUUCGAUCGCGAUGUCGAACGAAAGAGGAACGUCGGAGCGAGUUGAACGUCCGCGGUGGGAUUUUUAUUCCGUCGCGACGUUCUAAAACGCGAAAGCGGACCCGCUGACGGACGCGAGCGUGUGUCGUGCGUGUGCGGCGUGUGUGUGUGGUGUUAAUAAUUAACGUCACCGCCGCCGCCGCCGACCGGAGCUCGCUUCGUAAGGGGGUCGUACGAAUGUAAAAGGGACGACGUGCGCCUAUUAUCGAUUCACACGUGAUAUUAUUUAUAAACGUAAUACGCGCGCGCACGAUAUAAAAACGAUCGUCGUAUCCGAUGAAAUUAUAUAAAUUUUAGUCGACGUCCGAUCGUAAGUGCGCGCUCUGUACGUAUAAUAUCGAUUGUACGAGCGAGAGUCGUUUUGUCUCGUCGUCCGCAAAAACUUUUACGUUUCGUAUUUGUGUCGAUCACAGUCGUAGUGCGAGUAUCGGCUUUUUUUUAUAUCGACCUCAGAUUAUGUGAGACUACCCGCUGA